AGCUCCAAUAGCGUAUAUUAAAGUUGUUGCAGUUAAAAAGCUCGUAGUUGGAUUUCUGUUUAGGAUGACCGGUUCACUUUCGGGUGGUUACCUGGUUUAGCCUAAACAUUUUCUUGGAGAACGUCGCUGCACUUAAUUGUGUGGUGCGGAAUCCAGGACCUUUACUUUGAGAAAAUUAGAGUGUUUCAAGCAGGCCAACGCUUUGAAUACUGCAGCAUGGAAUAAUAUGAUAAGACUUCGGUUUUAUUUUGGGGGUUUCUAAAACUGAAGUAAUGAUUAAUAGGGACAGUUGGGGGCAUUCGUAUUUAACUGUCAGAGGUGAAAUUCUUGGAUUUGUUAAAGACGAACUACUGCGAAAGCAUUUGCCAAGGAUGUUUUCA
rnacentral:rRNA from 1 species